UGGCUGUCUGGUGAGCAGGGCGGGCCAGGUCAAGGGGCAUUUCUAGAGGGCUAUCUCAGAGAGUCUUUGGGCAGGCUGCUGGGUGAGGCUGUGUUCCUGUCUUGUUGGUUGUUUGGCGCAAGGUGUCCCAGCACCGGAGCCUCCUGGAAAGCUCAAGCUGAUGACCGUCACCCAGGAUCUCUGCUGCCAGCGUCAUUGUCCCCACAGUAAGCCACAGCCACCCCGCCCUUCCAGAAGACUCUCCAAGGCCAGCAGAAUUAAAGCAUGAAUGGGGCCUCCUGAACUUGCUGCUGCACUCCCCCCGCCCCCUUGACCACCUAUGUGGAUUCAGCAGAGCAUUUAUGUUUACUCAGAUGGACCACAUUCUCUGCCUCCCUGUCCUCAUCUGUGUUGUCUGGACCAUGGUUGGCACCUGACCCAAACUCAAAAUCUGAAAUGGAAAGAAGGAAGAGGUACUUGGGAUGCCUGUACACAGAGAGAAGGCCAUGUGAGGACACAGAAGGGGGCCAUCUGCAAGCCAAGGAGGGAUGCCUCGAGAGAAACAAACCUGCCCACAACUCGGUCUUGGACUUUGAGCCUCCAGAACUGUGAGAAAAUAAGCUUCUGUUGUUUAAGCCACCUGGUUUGUGGCAUUUUGUUAUGGCAGCCUGAGAACACAACUCCAAGGCACAAACACAAUAUAUCAAACAAGAAUCAAUGCUCAUUGCUGCUUUCAAAAACAGGGGCAAGAGGUCACCUGCUAUGAGCUACCUACUCCCUGAAAUUAUUCGCUAAGCAACCAAGUCCUUUUUAAAACAAACCUUUUUUAUUUUGUAUUGGAAUAUAGCCUAUUAACAGUGUUGUGAUAGUUUCUGGUAGACAGCAAAAGGACUCAGCCAUACAUACACAAGUAUCCAUUCUCCCCUAAAUUCCACACCUCCCCCCACCCCCAACAUU